AAUCAAUCAAGUGCAAAAAACUGAGGAACAAAAGGCGUUUGUGGUUGGCCAAACUGAACCAGGAUUUCCAGGGCAAGAGUCUUGAACACAUUUGUGUUUGUUCUUAUCAUUUCCGGUCAGUUUACUCAUGACCUGUGUGAUGUCCACCGGUCCACUUGCUGCAAGUUUGGCCUUCUGUUCUUCCUCCUGCUGCCUCAGGAUGAUGGGACUCAGGCUGGGCCGCCUUCUCUUGGCAUUCUGCUCCAACUGUGCAUCACUAGGAGACAUUAGAAAAGACACCCCAUUUCAGAUCCUCACAGGCUUCCCAGAAGGCAAGAUUCUCACCUAUUCAGCAAUCAGG